CCGUCGAUAGCUCAGUUGGUAGAGCGGUGGACUGUAGAGGUUUCAAAGUUAUCCAUAGGUCGCUGGUUCAAAUCCGGCUCGACGGA
rnacentral:tRNA from 1 species